rnacentral:rRNA from 1 species
UGAGGAAUAUUGGGCAAUGCCCGCAAGGGUGACCCAGCAACGCCGCGUGGAGGAUGAAUGUCGUAAGAUUGUAAACUCCUGUUAGAGGGGAAGAAUAGUACCGGUUGGACCGGUAUAUGACUGUACCCUCAGAGAAAGCCCCGGCUAACUACGUGCCAGCAGCCGCGGUAAUACGUAGGGGGCAAGCGUUGUCCGGAUUUACUGGGUGUAAAGGGCGCGUAGGCGGCGCGGUAAGUCACUUGUGAAAUCUCUGAGCUUAACUCAGAACGGCCAAGUGAUACUGCUGUGCUAGAGUGCGGAAGAGGCAACCGGAAUUCUGGGUGUGGCGGUGAAAUGCGUAGAUAUCAAGAGGAACACCUGAGGCGAAGGCGGGUUGCUGGGCCGACACUGACGCUGAUGCGCGAAAGCCAGGGGAGCAAACG